rnacentral:rRNA from 1 species
GACGAAGGUGGCAAGCGUUAUUCGGAUUUACUGGGCAUAAAGCGCGCGUAGGCGGCUUGGCAAGUCGGGGGUGAAAGCCCGCAGCUCAACUGCGGAACUGCCUUCGAUACUGGCGAUCUCGAGUUCGGGAGAGGUGAGUGGAACUGCGAGUGUAGAGGUGAAAUUCGUAGAUAUUCGCAAGAACACCAGUGGCGAAGGCGGCUCACUGGCCCGAUACUGACGCUGAGGCACGAAAGCGUGGGGAGCAAACAGG